AUGGCACAAAGGGCGGGAUGUAAUCACCUUAUUAUUAACUCAGACAACAUGGAGGUGAUUGAGAUUACGCAUGAUGGAGGACAGUCAGCGGGCGCGGCAGCAACACUUUUCAAUGACUACUUUCAUUAUGCUUGCGAUUUCAUUACAACUAGAUAUGAACACUGUAAUAGAGAAGCAAAUAAAGUAGCGCAUGAGCUUGCUAGAUUAGCUAGAUUUUCCUUGUCUUCUGUUUGGUUCGAGGAACCGUUCAAUGAAAUUGUAAUGCUCCUUACAAACUAUGUAUUAAUUAUCUCUAAUGAAUAA
rnacentral:rRNA from 1 species